rnacentral:rRNA from 1 species
GGCUCAGGACGAACGCUGGCGGCGUGCCUAAUACAUGCAAGUCGAGCGAAUCGAUGGGAGCUUGCUCCCUGAGAUUAGCGGCGGACGGGUGAGUAACACGUGGGCAACCUGCCUAUAAGACUGGGAUAACUUCGGGAAACCGGAGCUAAUACCGGAUACGUUCUUUUCUCGCAUGAGAGAAGAUGGAAAGACGGUUUACGCUGUCACUUAUAGAUGGGCCCGCGGCGCAUUAGCUAGUUGGUGAGGUAAUGGCUCACCAAGGCGACGAUGCGUAGCCGACCUGAGAGGGUGAUCGGCCACACUGGGACUGAGACACGGCCCAGACUCCUACGGGAGGCAGCAGUAGGGAAUCUUCCGCAAUGGACGAAAGUCUGACGGAGCAACGCCGCGUGAGUGAUGAAGGCUUUCGGGUCGUAAAACUCUGUUGUUAGGGAAGAACAAGUACAAGAGUAACUGCUUGUACCUUGACGGUACCUAACCAGAAAGCCACGGCUAACUACGUGCCAGCAGCCGCGGUAAUACGUAGGUGGCAAGCGUUAUCCGGAAUUAUUGGGCGUAAAGCGCGCGCAGGCGGUUUCUUAAGUCUGAUGUGAAAGCCC